rnacentral:misc_RNA from 1 species
GUAGGUGAACCUGCGGAAGGAUCAUUAACACUCCAAAACACUCUCAUUACCCUUGGCAACAGGGGUAUAUGAAACCCUAUUCACAAGCGAACCCAGGGCUGGGAUGGAGCGUCGAGUCUUUACUGACGAGUCGCCCAUCUCACUGACCCUACCACACUUUUGUCCUUUUUUUUUAAUAAAACCCUAACAACUUUGCUAUUAUUUUCUGACUGAGACUUCCUCACCGAAGCCUCGUUGUUCUUUCCGAAAGGGAGAGCAACUGAAACAUCAUACAAAAAAAACAUAAAAACAACUCUUAGCAACGGAUAUCUUGGUUCUC